GACGAACGCUGGCGGCGUGCCUAAUACAUGCAAGUCGAACGCAGUGGGGACGGGUGAGUAACACGUGGGUAACCUCCCAUCAGAGGGGAUAACACUUGGAAACAGGUGCUAAACCGAUACUGAUGGAUGGACCCGCGGGGCAUUAGCUGGUUGGUGGGGUAACGGCGCACCAAGGCCACGAUGCAUAGCCGGUCUGAGAGGGUGAUCCGCCACACUGGGACGGAGACACGGCCCAGACUACUACGGGAGGCAGCAUUGGGGAAUAUUUGGCAAUGGGCGAAAGUCUGACCGAGCAACGCCGCGUGAGUGAAGAAGGUCUUCGGAUCGUAAAGCUCUGUUGUUGGAGAAGCGGUACCUAACCAGAAAGCAACGGCUAACUCCGUGCCAGCAGCCGCGGUAAUAC
rnacentral:rRNA from 1 species